ACCCUUGUCCUCAUGGAUUCUAGUCAGUUUUGUUACCGCUGAACCAUGAAGGGAACUCCAAAAUUACAAAGGUUUUAAGAGCUCUGUGCCAGGAACUGGGAGCAGAGGCAAUACUCUCAUUUUCUAUUAUCUCAUACUCAGGACUUCCCUUUCUGCUUCAUCCACACAAGUGAGGAGCAAAGAAAAGGCCUGGCCCCUCCACCAUCAGCAAGCCUUCUCUCUGCUGCCAGGCCCCAACUCCACUCCCCAUGUAUUAUUUCUAGUCCUCAUCCCAGCUCUGCCAUUCGCCAGCUGUGUGACUCUGGCAUCAUCAUGUAGGCGGCCUGUGGAAAAAAGCAGACUCCCAGGUUCCUUUGCGCGUGUGGAGCGGAAGGAGGGCUCAUAUUUUUAGAAGCACUUCCUGCUAGUCUGACGCUGGCGGUCUGUGAUCCGCAGCUAGAGCCUCCUUAUUCUGCAGCCUGGAUGGUGAGUAAGACACAGCCCUGCCCUCAAACAACUUACUCUUCAGUGAAACAGAGGGGCAUCAGGAUAAAACGUACCACCUCUUGAAGCCUUUCUCUGCCAUUAAUACACACACGGGGUUUCCCGAAGUGAUGCUUGCUGGGAGCAGAGAACACAAAAGGGCUACGCUUUGAGGAGGAGCUAAGGUAGGAGAGAUUUGGGGACAGAGAAGAGAAAGCCAGCAAGGAAGAUCUGGGUUCCGCCGAGCAACAAAGAAGUUGCUGAGAUCCUGGGGAAAGCCUCUUACAAGCGGGUGAGAGGGCUCAAAUCUUCAGAUUUUUCCCAGAUGCUCUGCCUGGGGGGACAAAGUCUGCGGUCAUGGGGAGUCCGAUAAAUAGAAGGGGACUUGGAGAGAGGAGCACUCUGGGUGCGGUCCCAUUCCCUUCAGAUCUUCUCACCAGCUCCACGUCCACCCCCAGCCGCUUGUGUUCACUCCUAGAGGGUCCUGCCAACAACUGUCCGCAGAGGGUCAAACAAGGGUUAUAGGAACUGCCUCACCCAGGGGCACCAAGAACUGAAAGUGCCUGUGAGUUUAUGGCCCCUGGAGCAGGGGAGCCAGUGACUGAUGGGUGCAGGGUGUGAAAGAACCAUUCCUUUGUCUCGAGAGGGGCUACAAAUUAUACUCCUGAGCUCCCCGCAGGGUCAGGCUGAGGCUGAAAUCAAACACUGGCUUCUCCCAACCUUUUCUGCUUUCUCCAUCUCCUUAUGGAAGUGGGACUGUUUCCUUGAUAAAACACUUGAUCUAAGACAGCAGAGAGUUCAAGCACCAAAGCAACCCACACUCUGGCUCACAGUUCAUCAUGGAGAAGGGACAAAAUGAGGGGUGAUGGGAAAAGUUGAGGCUCUUUCUGUGGCAACCUGGAGAAGCAUUUGUCUCCCUUGCCCAGCCUGGACCCUCAAUCCUGCCUGGCCUGGCUUCUCUAGAAAGGGCAUUAUUCGUGUCCAAGGAGAGGAGGCACCAGGCUUCAGUCUGCCCUGAAUUUUAGGAAACUGACGGAAACUUGCUAUCAAUUCCAGGCAAAGUCAAAGGUGUAAAUAUGGAGCCCAAACUUGGGACAAAUAACUCUAAAACUCACACAGAGAGGACUCACCCUUUUUAGGAAGCCUAGAAAGCUGUCUAGACAGUUCAGGAUGUGCUGAGACCAGCAUCAGAGACUUGGCUAAAAGAUCAGACUUUCCAUCCCAUCUUUGCUCAGCCUGCCCUCUGCUGGAAUGACGUGUGAACAGCAGCUAGUUCAGACGAACGCAGCCAAAACCAGGAGGCCUCCUGAAUCCCUCUCAUCCUUCAGAGGCCAACUUAAAUGUCACCUCCUCCAGGAAGACUCCCCUGAUUCUAGCAGUUGGAAGCAAGUUCUUUUAAUGUGAGCCUUUACAGCCCCUCAUUUACACUUCUCCAAUGGUGCCGUCUACCUUAUGUCAUGGUUGUAUGGUACAUAUGUUAUCUCCCUGACUCAUUUGUGAGCUCCCAAGGGAGAAAGAUUUCCUUUUUAGUUUUGUGUUUUGAAAAUUUUCUCCCAAGGAUUUUGCACCUGCCCAGAAAUGUGUCCUACAAUUAAGCCCUAAAUUUACAUCAUUAAAAGGAAUCCUCUGAAUUCAGAUGCAUCUUCAAAAAGGCCCAAUUAAAAUGCAAUAUAUACACACUACCGUAUACAAGAUAAGUAACCAACAAAGACCUACUGUACAGCACAGGGAACUCUACUCCGUAUCUUGUAAUAAGCCAUAUGGGAAAAGAAUCUGAAAAAGAAUAGAUGUAUGGGAGUUUCUCUAUGGUGCAACAGGAUUAGCAGUCUCUGGAGCCCUGGGACACAGGUUCGAUCCUUGGCCCGGCACAGUGGGUUAAGGAUCUGGCUUUGCCCCAGCUGUGGCUUAGGUCACAACUGUGGCUCAGAUCUGAACCCCAGCCCGUGAACACCAAAUGCCUUGGGACAGCCAAAAAAGAUACACACAAAAAAAUAGAUAUGUGCAUACUGAAUCACUUUGUUGUACACCUGAAACUAACACAUGGUAGAGAAAAAAAUUAUACUCCAAUAUAAAAUAAAAAAUAACCCCCCCAAAAGUAAAUAUGAAAAGAUGUAAUCAUCUGGCCUGGACUGUAAGUUAUUAACUCCUUAAAGGCAUUAGCACAUCAGCUGUGCCCAGAGCUUGGAGCCAUAGUGUUAUGGGAAAAUGUAGGUGGCGAAGAAAGAUGAUAAAAGAGGUAAGGAAUGAAGGAGAAGUUGAGGAUGAGGUACUUAUGAGGUUGGCUGGGGAGGUUCAGGAGGGGUUGAGGCAUUGGAGGGGGCAGAGGGGGCAAAGGACACACCCUGAGCCAGAGGUUCCAGAAGGAAAGGUGUGGGACACAUGUUGAAGGAGUCAUUGGAUCUUGUAGGAUCCAAAAAGAAAGUAUUGGCUCCAAAGACAAAAAGAAAACAGGAAAAAAAAUUAAUAUAUACUUAAUUGUCAGUAAAUCACAAUGUCAUAUCAACUGGACUCAUUGUUAAAUUUAGCCUUUAUAAAUACUCAUUCCAUUUGCGAAGAAUUUGGGGGUUAGGUUUUCUCACUUCCUAAGAAUUCCUGAGGAGAGACAGUGACUCCUGACAAAUCGUAGCCAACUGCAAAUUAAAUAUUACUCAUCGCCAAAUAGUUUCUAAAGCAGAAUUAGAAAACUCCAUUCAAAUUUUCAGGGCAAAAUUAUAUUUAGUAUAGGAUGUGAGUGAUUUUAAUAUACUUGAUAUAAUGAAAGUAGGACUCUCUGGGGCUUACGAAGGUUUUAAAUGGCCCUGAGUAUCAAAGAUCAAUUUCAUCCAUCCCCUUUAAUUUCACUCUUGGUGACAUCACACCUUCUGCAAACAAGCUGCUUCCUUUUCCGAAAUGCAACUUGCAUUGACCUUCUUGCGCACAUGCAAGGGCUAGUCUUUUAGAAUUAAUUGACUAAGGGCUUGGAAUAGAUAACUGGAAAUGUUUCCUGUUCCCAAGAGAUGCUCCAGAGGGAAACCAGUGUUAUUCAUUCCAUACAUGUAUCUUCCAAGCACCCUCUGCCUUUACAAGCGAAAACUGAAGGCAUGCUUUCCAGCUGUACCCUUGACAUAGUGUGUAUAUGUUAUUAACAUCAUUCACACCGUCAUGAUCCCAGUCCUUUCUUCUUAACAAUUGAACCCCCCCCACCCCUCCUUUUUUAUGGGCUGCACCCACGGCAUAUGGGAUCUCCCAGGCUAGGGGUCGAAUCUGAGCUGCAGCUGCCAGCCUACGCCACAGCUACGGCAACACUACAUUUGAGCCAAGUCUUUAACCUACCACAGCUCAUGGCAACGCCAGAUCCUUAACCCACUGAACGAGGCUAAGGAUCGAACCCACAUCCUCAUGGAUACUAGUCAGAAUUGGUACCACUGUGCCACAACGGGAACUCCUUGAAUGCCCUUUUAAAAAGAAAACCCUAAUUAUGAGGAACUUACUAGUAACCCUCCCCCCAAAAUGGUGAUAAGGGGAAGAAACAGCCCUUUUGGAGGUAGAAGCAGUUUGUAUCUAGUCAGAAAACACAAAGCUGCAGAAUGCAGUUAAAGAGAACUCCUAAGUCAUUUUAUGCAGAAACACUUUGGGCAUGGGUAGAGAAUGCCAAAGUCAGGG